rnacentral:rRNA from 1 species
AGUAAAUAGAUACCCCGGUAGUCCACGCCGUAAACGAUGUCGACUUGGAGGUUGUGCCCUUGAGGCGUGGCUUCCGGAGCUAAACGCGUUAAAGUCGACCGCCUGGGGAGUACGGCCGCAAGGUUAAAACUCAAAUGAAUUGACGGGGCCCGCACAAGCGGUGGAGCAUGUGGUUUAAUUCGAUGCAACGCGAAGAACCUUACCUACUCUUGACAUCCAGAGAAACUUAGCAGAGAUGCUUUGGUGCCUUCGGGAACUCUGAGACGGGUGCUGCAUGGCUGUCGUCAGCUCGUGUUGUGAAAUGUUGGGUUAAGUCCCGCAACGAGCGCAACCCUUAUCCUUUGUUGCCAGCUGUUAGGCCGGGAACUCAAAGGAGACUGCCAGUGAUAAACUGGAGGAAGGUGGGGAUGACGUCAAGUCAUCAUGGCCCUUACGAGUAGGGCUACACACGUGCUACAAUGGCGCAUACAAAGAGAAGCGACCUCGCGAGAGCAAGCGGACCUCAUAAAGUGCGUCGUAGUCCGG